UCAGAGGAUUUGAUGGUUUCAGAUGGAGAAGGAGAGAAACUCUGACUCUGAGUUGCUGUUGUUGUUGUUGAAGCUGCUGAGGAGAAA